AGAGGGUGAUCGGCCACACUGGGACUGAGACACGGCCCAGACUCCUACGGGAGGCAGCAGUAGGGAAUCUUCCGCAAUGGACGAAAGUCUGACGGAACAACGCCGCGUGAGUGAUGAAGGUUUUCGGAUCGUAAAACUCUGUUGUUAGGGAAGAACAAGUACCGUUCGAAUAGGGCGGCACCUUGACGGUACCUAACCAGAAAACCACGGCUAACUACGUGCCAGCAGCCGCGGUAAUACGUAGGUGGCAAGCGUUGUCCGGAAUUAUUGGGCGUAAAGCGCGCGCAGGCGGUUUCUUAAGUCUGAUGUGAAAGCCCCC
rnacentral:rRNA from 1 species